rnacentral:rRNA from 1 species
UGGGGAAUAUUGCACAAUGGGCGAAAGCCUGAUGCAGCGACGCCGCGUGAGGGAUGACGGCCUUCGGGUUGUAAACCUCUUUCAGCAGGGACGAAGCGCAAGUGACGGUACCUGCAGAAGAAGCACCGGCUAACUACGUGCCAGCAGCCGCGGUAAUAAGUAGGGUGCAAGCGUUGUCCGGAAUUACUGGGCGUAAAGAGUUCGUAGGCGGUUUGUCGCGUCGUUUGUGAAAACCAGCAGCUCUACUGCUGGCUUGCAGGCGAUACGGGCAGACUUGAGUACUGCAGGGGAGACUGGAGUUCCUGGUGUAGCGGUGAAAUGCGCAGAUAUCAGGAGGAACACCGGUUGCGAAGGCGUCUCUCUGUGCAGUAACUGACGCUGAGGAACGAAAGCGUGGGUAGCGAACAGG